GAUGAACGCUAGCGGGAGGCUUAACACAUGCAAGCCGAGGGGUAUAGUUCUUUCGGGAACUAGAGACCGGCGCACGGGUGCGUAACGCGUAUGCAACUUGCCCUACUGAAAAGGAUAGCCCUUCGAAAGGAGGAUUAAUACUUUAUAACAGAUUUAAUGGCAUCAUUAGAUUUUGAAAGAUUUAUCGCAGUAGGAUAGGCAUGCGUAAGAUUAGUUAGUUGGUGAGGUAACGGCUCACCAAGACGAUGAUCUUUAGGGGGCCUGAGAGGGUGAACCCCCACACUGGUACUGAGACACGGACCAGACUCCUACGGGAGGCAGCAGUGAGGAAUAUUGGACAAUGGGUGGAAGCCUGAUCCAGCCAUCCCGCGUGUAGGAUGACGGCCUUAUGGGUUGUAAACUACUUUUAUCUGGGGAGAAACCUACUUACGUGUAAGUAGCUGAAGGUACCAGAAGAAUAAGCACCGGCUAACUCCGUG
rnacentral:rRNA from 1 species